UUUAUUACUUAUUUAGGAGACUGGAAUAUCACGGCAUCAAAUGGUAAAACAACAGAAAGUAUGAGUGUUUUCUUACGAGUACUUCCAAGGCUUGUGCUGCAGGUGAUGCCUCCAAAUAAUAUUUCAGUUGAAAGCAAGAAAUCGAUAAACCUUUCAUGCGUUGUUACCAAUCCUGAAUCCUUAUUUAAUUUGUCUGGCGGGGGUUUAUUCUGGGAGAAAGACGGCAAAAAAAUAUCACCAGAUUCUGGAUUCAAUAUAACUACAACAGACACAUCCACAACUUUAAUGAAGUCAUCAGCAGAAGUUGACGAUUCGGGAACUUACUUGUGUGCUCACUCUUCCUAUCCGGAACCUUUUUAUGUCUCCAUCUAUAUA